UACGGAGGAUGCGAGCGUUAUCCGGAUUUAUUGGGUUUAAAGGGUGCGUAGGCGGGCUUUUAAGUCAGCGGUAAAAAUUCGGGGCUCAACCCCGUCCGGCCGUUGAAACUGGGGGUCUUGAGUGGGCGAGAAGAAGGCGGAAUGCGUGGUGUAGCGGUGAAAUGCAUAGAUAUCACGCAGAACCCCGAUUGCGAAGGCAGCAUGCCGGCUUCCUACUGACGCUGAAGCACGAAAGCGUGGGGAUCGAACAGG
rnacentral:rRNA from 1 species